rnacentral:rRNA from 1 species
ACCUGGCUCAGGACGAACGCUGGCGGCGUGCUUAACACAUGCAAGUCGAACGAUGAACCUGGAGCUUGCUCUAGGGAAUUAGUGGCGAACGGGUGAGUAACACGUGAGUAACCUGCCCUUGACUCUGGGAUAACCUCCGGAAACGGAAGCUAAUACCGGAUAUGACGCACGGAGGCAUCUCCUGUGCGUGGAAAGAACUUCGGUCAAGGAUGGACUCGCGGCCUAUCAGGUAGUUGGUGAGGUAACGGCUCACCAAGCCUACGACGGGUAGCCGGCCUGAGAGGGUGACCGGCCACACUGGGACUGAGACACGGCCCAGACUCCUACGGGAGGCAGCAGUGGGGAAUAUUGCACAAUGGGCGCAAGCCUGAUGCAGCAACGCCGCGUGAGGGACGACGGCCUUCGGGUUGUAAACCUCUUUUAGUAGGGAAGAAGCGAAAGUGACGGUACCUGCAGAAAAAGCACCGGCUAACUACGUGCCAGCAGCCGCGGUAAUACGUAGGGUGCGAGCGUUGUCCGGAAUUAUUGGGCGUAAAGAGCUCGUAGGCGGUCUGUCGCGUCUGCUGUGAAAACCCGAGGCUCAACCUCGGGCCUGCAGUGGGUACGGGCAGACUAGAGUGCGGUAGGGGAGAAUGGAAUUCCUGGUGUAGCGGUGGAAUGCGCAGAUAUCAGGAGGAACACCGAUGGCGAAGGCAGUUCUCUGGGCCGUAACUGACGCUGAGGAGCG